rnacentral:rRNA from 1 species
GACGAACGCUGGCGGCGUGCUUAACACAUGCAAGUCGAACGCUGAAGCCCUUUUUGGGUGGAUGAGUGGCGAACGGGUGAGUAACACGUGAGUAACCUGCCCUUCACUUUGGGAUAACCUUCGGAAACGGGGGCUAAUACUGGAUAUGACUCAUGGCCGCAUGGUUGUGGGUGGAAAGAUUCUUUUGGUGGGGGAUGGGCUCGCGGCCUAUCAGCUUGUUGGUGGGGUGAUGGCCUACCAAGGCGACGACGGGUAGCCGGCCUGAGAGGGCGACCGGCCACACUGGGACUGAGACACGGCCCAGACUCCUACGGGAGGCAGCAGUGGGGAAUGUCGCACAAUGGGCGCAAGCCUGAUGCAGCGACGCCGCGUGGGGGAUGACGGCC